UACCAGCACCCCGAGUGGUCGGGACGUUUAUUGGGCCUAAAGCAUCCGUAGCCGGUUCUACAAGUCUUCCGUUAAAUCCAACUGCUUAACAGGUGGGCUGCGGAAGAUACUAUAGAGCUAGGAGGCGGGAGAGGCAAGCGGUACUCGAUGGGUAGGGGUAAAUCCGUUGAUCCAUUGAAGAACCACCAGUGGCGAAGGCGGCUUGCCCAGAACGCGCUCGACGGUGAGGGAUGAAAGCUGGGAGCAAACCGGGAUUAGAUGACCCCGGUAGUACCCCGA
rnacentral:rRNA from 1 species